AACACACGCGGCUUUCUGGCGUCUCACUGCACAGCAAGCAUGGCCUUGUUCUUUGAUUUUCUGUGUUCGAGGCCGGGUCCCAUUUCUUCAUGUUGGUGAUGGAGCCUCUUUGCUGCUGGAUUUCUUAAGCGUUCUCCGUUUUCUCUGUUCUAAAGCUAUUGGCCUGAACGUCUUCACACAAGACUUUUGUCUUUUCUCAUUUUCUUACUUCCUUGGGAUAAACUUCUGGAAGAGAGAUUUUUUUGACUGCAUCAAAGUGCAUGGCUCUUUUCUGUCGUUCUCGACAUCUGUUUUAAAACCGUUUCCCAAAAGACGGGGAGAAUGGACGUGCCCACUGGCGACGUGGCAGGCUGCAGGUUCGCUGGGCAAUGGCACUCCUGGCACAACUGUCGUCGGGACCCGUGGUGAAUGUAACAGGUGUAAGACCCAAAGACUGUGCUGUCGGGACCCGUUUCUGUGCAGGGAAACCGUGUGUGUCUCAGGCAAGACACGGAACCCCGGGGUCGCCACCUGCUCCCUUAAACCGCCCCAACCCGAUGCCGAGAGCCAUUCUCUGACUGGUAUUUAUUUAUUUAUUUUUCUGUGCAAGAAAUGCUUUUCUUCAGCUCAACAGAACAGGGAAGUCUGAAAAAAAACCCUACCUUCUGUAGAGGAUGUGAGCUGGCCCUCGGCCAGCGGCUGGACUGCACCCUUGUAAAUACCCUCCCUUUCCCGUCAGGGCCCGGAGAUAAGCCGGCCGGGUUCUGCCUGGACGGCCAGUCCCCCGUCCAUCUGCUGCAGAGGGAGGCCCCAGGCCAGCCGCAGGCCCAGGCCCCCGGGCCGCAGAGGGAGCUGCAGUGAGAGGAUGUCUGCCUGUCACCAGGCCCGGCGUGGAGUGUUCUCUGAACGUUGCCCGAGGAGAAUUUUUCCCAUUUUCUUUCACUUUCCAAACCCCAGGCAGGGUGAGUUCUGGUGAAGUCCGGCCCUUCCCGUCCAGCCUCCCCCAGAGCCCCAGGCCCGGGCCUGCUGCGCAGCACCUGCCCACGUCUCAGGCUCUCUGGCUCCUUGUGUGCCGUCUCCUGGGUGACACCUGAGCAGACGCAGGGGCGUCCGGGCUCCCCGUCCCCAGGAGAUGGGCAUCCCUGGUGAUGUCACAGUGGGUGCCCACUGCAUCCCUCUGCUCUGCCCUCCACCUCCUGCCCGCUGCUGCGGUGGGUACCAUUCCAGUGUGCAAGGGGCUGUAGGGAUAGGCGCCGAAGGAGGGGAUGGAGCUGGAAAUAGGCUUCCCGAAAGGGGUGUGGGGCAGGAUAGUGUGUGCAGGUGGGUGUGAGUCAGGGUGCGUGUGCACGUGUGUGCAAUGUGUGUGUGUGUGCACGCGCCCCACCACAGCUCACAGGUUCCCACCUGGCUCUCCCUUCUCCCCAGCUGCUGCCUGACUCAGGGGCCACCACCCUCACCUGCCACCCCGGCCUCCGUGUCCCCCACAGGGCCUCUGUGCUCAGGCCGCUACUCUGAUGCCACCUUAUACCUUCCCCAAGCACCCCCGCUGCGUGCCCGGAGGGACCCCCCCACCACGUUCACUUGCUCUGCGUCCUCUGACCGCCCAGCUGCCCUCACUCCCAGGUCAGGCCCUGCCGCCCCCUCCCUGGAGCCCCGCCCGGCCUCGGGGGGCACUCAAGACGCACAUGCUGCCUGAGGAGUGACUUGUUUAUUUUGUAAUUAAUUAAUUAUGCUUUUAACCUUAAAUUCCACUGCACGUUGACUCGGGAGGCAUUUGUCAUUAAAAGCUCUCAGGACCAACUUUUCAACCCAACCACCGGGCCGGGGGGCCCGCGGGGGAGCCAGUCUCUCUUUUGAAGCCCUGACUCCAGCUGUUCCGAGUGCUCCGUGGCCUCAGUGGCUGAUCUGGGCCUGGUUCUGCCUUCAUGUGGGUGUUUCCAGAACAGCCUCAGCCCAGAGGCGGGGUGGUGGCGGGAGUGUUCUUGCCGUUUGGGGGAAAAAACCCCAGUGUGUUGCUGAAUUCUCUGCCCAAGUGGAAAGCCCACUCUGAGAGGACGUUUCCCGGGGGAAAGUGAGCCGUUUUCAAAGGAGAGUGAGCUGCGGGGACUCGGGUGGGGUUUGCCGGGGGGGAGGUGAUCUCUGGCGUCCUGGGCUUCGGGUGAGCCUCAGGUUUCCUAAGCUCAGCCUUCCUGUCGCUGAGACUGCAGCAGGCCCCACAGCCUGACUAUCCCGGGGCUGGGAUGCCAGGAGGGAGGCAGCACGUGGGGUCACUGGGCCCCGAAGCGUCUUAGCUCGAGGGGUUAGGCCUCUGGUGUCGCCUGCAACUCCUAGUGAUGGCUGUGAGAUCCUGACACUGGGUUUGAACAAAAGAGCCCCAGGGAGGUCCCUGCAAAGGAAGGAAAAUCAAAUUCAGACGAGACACCCUUGACAUUCAAAGUGACUCAACAGGGAGUGCCAAGGGACAUGGCCAUCCUUACCGAAGAGUCAGGCUACUCCAGCUGCUCCCUCCCCCCAGGCUGCUCUGGGACAGCAGCUCUGCUCUAUCCACGCUGUCUGGCCAGCCCUGCCUCCUUCCUCCUGUGUCCAGGAGGAAAAGUCUCUAGAGGUCUCCACGCAGCAAUGUCCAGCCUGCUCCUCUACCAAACUAAUGCGGGCCUUCCUCCUGUCUGCAGGACCAGUGACCGUCCCUCAUGUGCACAGUCAGCAACCUGUGCUGCUACCCUUCUGGUGCUAGGAGGGCAUCAGGAGAGGGCACAGCUGGCCCUGGCUAUCCCCCUCAAUGUCUGGUGCUCCCCAAGCUCUGAAAAGCCCAACUUCUGGGAGCGUCUCUAGGGCUUCUCAAAGGGGGCCAUGUCCAGAUUUGGCAACGUCUGGAGGUAGCAUACUUGCUUAACGAUAUUCAACCAGGACAGGUAAGGGCGGCUGUGUGAAAGGCAGUUGUAGUGACGUCGCUGCAAGAAAAUGUCCAACGUGAUGCUCUGGGCGCUGCCAGAGAUCUGGCUCUGAGUCUUCUCGUCGUGCUCUUCCCCCCCCCUCGCCAAGCCAGAGGGCAUAGGAUGGUAUUGAAAUCCGCAGCCCCCACGCCGUAAGAACAAAGCCGUUACUCAGAGGAUCACAGCUGUUGGAUACUGAGAAACGCCUUCCUUCUGUGACCAGCUCGUAGCGAUUCUUUCAUCGACGGUGUUGAAGGCUGUCCAGCACGUGUUCUGCAUCUAUUGACGUGACCACGUGGGUGCCCUUCAUUCUGCUAACACAGUGCACUGUGUGAACUGACUGGCACAUGUCAAACCAUCCUUGCAGCCACUUCACCAUGGCUGAUGAUCUUUCUAAUGUGCUGCUGAAUCGAGUUUGAUAUUUUGCUGAGGAUUUUUUCGUCUGUGUUCAUCUGGGAUGUUGGCUCGUAAUUUUCUUUUCCUGUAGUGUCCUCCUCUGGCUUUGGUAUCAGGGUGGUGUUGGCCUCAUAAGAUGAGUUUGGAAGUCGUUGCACUUCUUCAGGAAGGUCCCUCAACAUAAGAAAGGCUGUAUGUGAAAAGCCUGCAGUUAACAUCCUACUCGGUGAAAACCUGAAAGCAUUUCCUCUAAGAUCGGGAAGGAGGCAGGGAUGCCCAUUCUUGCCAUUUCUACUCGUUGUGGUACUGGAAGCCGUAGCCAGAGCAGUCAGGCAAGACAGAGAAAUACAAGGCAUCUAAACAGGAAAGAAAGAAUCUGUAUGUAGACGACAUGACCUCGUAUGUGGAAAACUCUACAGGCUCCAUACACACAAAAA
rnacentral:lncRNA from 1 species